GGAAGAUGGAACUCUGGGUAUGUUUGUUUUCCUGAUGCUCCAGCUGUGGAGCUGUGCUCAUGAAGAAUUAGCGGCAUGGUCCUGACCUGGAGGCGGGCCGUGGUGUGACUGGCAGAGCCCGGGCAUCGAGCUGGAGAUGGCUGUGAUGCUCACCAGCCGUGCGGAAUCCCUCCUCUUCUCUAAGAUUCAAUUUCCUAAUCUCCAAAUGGAAAGCAUGGUACUAGAAUCUAGAAGACUGACAACCAGAAAAGCUACAUUAAACCUAUCAACAAGCUGUGACAAUACAAAGAGUACCUUGGAAGAGCAGCCUGCAAACACAAAGCAUGCUCAGAAAAGAAAAGAAGGGAGAAAGGAAAAGAGGGAGCAUGGCUGAUGAGCGGAGCAGAUCCCACGCCCGGGAUCUGAACCUGCAAACCAGGGCCACCGAAGCAGAGUGUGCGGGAGUUUAACCACUCAGCCACUGGGCAAGCCCCUACAUUUUUUUUUGGAGCUACAAAAAAACAGAAGAAUCCUGAGCUUCUUUUGACUUCCAGAGCCCCCACCCACACAAUCUGAGUAAUCUAAUCAAUAAAGUAAAACUGGAAGAAAACAAAAGUAAUGAUUUAAAACUGAAAACGAGAGAGAGAGAGAAAUUACAGCCUCCUGCCCUCCACAGCCAUCCGUCUCAGGGUUUACCAAUGCCGCUGGUCCAUGGAGCUGUGAGGAGCCAGUCAUAAGGAAAGAACAUCAGUCUAGAAAGCCUAAGACCUGGAUCGAAGUCUCAUCAGUGCAUCUAGGAACCAUGCGAAUUUGGGCAAGUCCCAUCCUAAAUCUGUUUCCUCACUUGAAGGAUGAGGAGUUUUAAUCACAUCUCUAUAUGCACCAAGAGCCUUGAGACCGUCUGCCAUCCCUUUUCUGGGACACUAACCUAAGUUCUGUCCUGCUGGCGCACACUAGAGAGAUUCAUUCUCCAUUGCUGGCUUGAAAGAAGUAACCUGCCAUGUUGUGAGAGGGCUUAUGGAGAGGGCCACAUUGCAAGGAAUUGUGGGCAGCCUCGAGCAGCUAAAAGUAGCCCCUGGCCAGCCAGCAGGAAAACAGAGACCUCAGCCACACAACUACAAGGAAGCGAACUCUGCCAACAACCUGAAUGAUGCUGGAAAUUGUCUUUCCUAAUUGAGCCUUCAGAUUAGAAUGCAGCCCAGCUGCCACCUGGAUUACAGCCUGACGAGAUCCUGAACAGAGGACCCAGUUAAGCCAUGCCAGACUCAGGACAUGUAGGAUUGUGAGAUAACAAAUGUGUUCUUUUAAGCUUCUGGAAUUGUGGAAACUAGUUACACAGCAAUACAAAGCCAAUACACUUGUAUGAAGUAGGGGAAGGAGCGAUGGAGUGACAUCCACAGAAAUGCCAUGCGGGCCUCCGAGAAGAGAAUUGAGAAAAGUGGGGACAACCCUCCGACUUUUGGGGCACUGUAAAAUGCCAACCACUCAGGAGCUACGGAUUGGCUCAAAUCUAUUAUUUGAGACUGUGAUGGCCAAAGAACCUGUUUCAUUAAAUGCAAUGACCUGAAUUCCAAAGCCACCCGCCCCCAACCUUGUCAUUAUUGGCCUUUUGUCCCUCC
rnacentral:lncRNA from 1 species